AUUGAACGCUGGCGGCAGGCCUAACACAUGCAAGUCGAACGAGUGGCGGACGGGUGAGUAAUGUCUGGGAAUCUGCAUGAUGGAGGGGGAUAACUAGUGGAAACGGUAGCUAAUACCGCCUACCAUCGGAUGUGCCCAGCUGGGAUUAGCUAGUAGGUGGGGUAAAGGCUCACCUAGGCGACGAUCCCUCGCUGGUCUGAGAGGAUGACCAGCCACACGGGAACGGGGACACGGUCCAGACUCCUACGGGUGGCAGCAGUGGGGAAUAUUGCAGAAUGGGCGGAAGCCUGAGGCGGCCAUGCCGCGUGUAUGAAGAAGGCCUUCGGGUUGUAAAGUACUUUCAGCGGGGAGGCGUUACCCGCAGAAGAAGCACCGGCUAACUCCGUGCCAGCAGCCGCGGUAAUAC
rnacentral:rRNA from 1 species